rnacentral:rRNA from 1 species
GACGUAGGGCGCGAGCGUUGUCCGGAUUUAUUGGGCGUAAAGAGCGUGUAGGCGGCCAGGUAGGUCAGCUGUGAAAACUCGAGGCUCAACCUCGAGAUGUCGGCGGAAACCAUCUGGCUAGAGUCCGGAAGAGGAGAGUGGAAUUCCUGGUGUAGCGGUGAAAUGCGCAGAUAUCAGGAAGAACACCUAUGGCGAAGGCAGCUCUCUGGGACGGUACUGACGCUGAGACGCGAAAGCGUGGGGAGCGAACAGG